rnacentral:rRNA from 1 species
AACGCGAAGAACCUUACCAGGUCUUGACAUCCCGCUGACCGGUGUAGAGAUACGCCUUUCCCUUCGGGGACAGCGGUGACAGGUGGUGCAUGGUUGUCGUCAGCUCGUGUCGUGAGAUGUUGGGUUAAGUCCCGCAACGAGCGCAACCCUUGAUCUUAGUUGCCAGCAUUCAGUUGGGCACUCUAAGGUGACUGCCGGUGACAAACCGGAGGAAGGUGGGGAUGACGUCAAAUCAUCAUGCCCCUUAUGACCUGGGCUACACACGUGCUACAAUGGACGGUACAAAGGGCUGCGAACCCGCGAGGGGGAGCCAAUCCCAUAAAACCGUUCCCAGUUCGGAUUGCAGGCUGCAACUCGCCUGCAUGAAGCCGGAAUCGCUAGUAAUCGUGGAUCAGCAUGCCACGGUGAAUACGUUCCCGGGUCUUGUACACACCG